UUGUUAUGAAAAGAUAUGUAGAAAAAUAAAAAAUAAUAUGACUAAAAAAAUAUAUGAAUACACGUUUUUAGUUUAUGCCAAACAAAUUCUUUCUUAUGUUUUAUUUUUUUUAUUUGAGUUAAUGUUGAUGGGUAAAAGUUAGUUUCUUAACUUUGAGUUUUUUUUAGUAGGUAAAGCAACUUUGAGUUGAAAAGACUAAAAGACUACUUCGAAGAAAUAGUCAGAUAAUCAAAGUCUACUGAGUAGUGGAUGCUCGCCACGUUGCCAUUUUUUUAAAAAAAAAAAAAUUAGUAGUUCAGAUUUGAUCCACCUAUUCACAAGCCUAGUAUUAGAUCCAAGUCAAAAAAAUGACCUAAUGUUUGAUGAAAUAAGUAGAUAAAAUUUAAAUAUUUAAUUUAUAAAAAGUGUCGACUUGACACAAUCUUGAAGCCUUGGAUCUAAUACUAGGCUAGUAAAUAGUGAGAGGUACUAGAAAGAGAUAUAAUCCACCUAUUUACUAGCCUUGGAUUUAUCCACCUAUUUACAAGCCUUGGAUCUAAUAAGUCAUUUUCUUUUAUCUUUUCCUCAAAUAAUGAGAGGGAGUGAGAUAGAAAGAGAUAUUCUCAAAAUAUUCCUCAAAUAUUGCAAAUGCAAAUGGCAUUUUUUGAAGAACGAAUUUAUUAGUGGUAAUUUCAUCAUAUGGAAGAGAUAUGAUAGUAACCAACCUUUCUGCUGAUUGAGGGAUCAAUUAGGUGUUUGUGAAAUAGGACUGGCCAAUUGUAUGAAUUGUUAACAUUGAGGAAUUGGUUUGACAGAUGAGACCCUUCAUUAUAAAGCGGGAUGUUUAAUUUCGAGUCUUAUUGUUACGAAUGUAACUUUCCUUCUUUAUCCCUCUCCUACUUAUUGAAAAAUAAAUAAAUAAGUAAAAUUAUAUGCAUUGUUGGUAAACACUAAUUGGUAAUGUGAUUCAAUAAUUAGGUACAGGUGGAUGUUACAUCUGAUUUCUUCAAAUACUUGUGUUUUGUCUUUGUAUAAACACUAAUAUAGGGAGGUUGGUUGGUCCCCCUUUUGUUUUACUCCUUUUGUCACUUGUUCACACAUAAUUUUAUUCAAUCAGUGGUAAUCCAAAUGCAACUAGGGGACCUACAAAAAUCUUGUUCUUUGAUAUGUAAUUCUACAAAAAAAUCUUUUUAGGCCCACGUGGUAGGAAAAUUCAAAUUGCAAAGUUCAAAGCUCUUUCUAUUUUAAUAUCA